rnacentral:rRNA from 1 species
CCUACGGGUGGCAGCAGUGAGGAAUAUUGGUCAAUGGGCUUACGCCUGAACCAGCCAAGUCGCGUGAGGGAAGACUGCCCUAUGGGUUUUAACCCUCUUUUGUCAGGGAGCAAUUGGCGCUACGUGUAGCGUUAUCUAGAGUACCUGCAGAAAAAGCCUCGGCUAACUCCGUGCCAGCAGCCGCGGUAAUACGGAGGAUGCGAGCGUUCUCCGGAUUUAUUGGGUUUAAAGGGUGCGUAGGCGGAAUGCCAAGUCAGCGGUAAAAUCGCGGGGCUCAACCUCGCUCCGCCGUUGAAACUGGCGGUCUGGAGUGGGCGAGAAGUAUGCGGAAGGUGUGGUGUAGCGGUGAAAUGCAUAGAUAUCACGCAGAACUCCGAUUGCGAAGGCAGCAUACCGGCGCCCAACUGACGCUGAAGCACGAAAGCGUGGGUAUCGAACAGGAUUAGAUACCCCUGUAGUC